UACAGAGGUCCCAAGCGUUGUUCGGAUUCACUGGGCGUAAAGGGUGCGUAGGUGGCAUGGCCAGUUUGAUGUGAAAGCUCAGGGCUUAACCCUGAAAUGGCAUUGAAUACUGCUGUGCUGGAGGUUUGGAGGGGGGACUGGAAUUCUUGGUGUAGCAGUGAAAUGCGUAGAUAUAAGAGGAACACCAGUGGCGAAGGCGGCCAUCUGGGACAACACUGACGCUGAGGCACGAAAGCGUGGGGAGCAAACAGG
rnacentral:rRNA from 1 species